rnacentral:rRNA from 1 species
UAGUGACGAAAAAUAACAAUACGGGACUCUUUUGAGGCCCCGCAAUUGGAAUGAGCACAAUCUAAAUCUUUUAGCGAGCAUCUAUUGGAGGUCAAGUCUGGAGCCAGCAGCCGCGCUAAUUCCAGCUCCAAUAGCGUAUAUUAAAGUUGCUGCAGUUAAAAAGCUCGUAGUUGGAUCUCGCGAUACCUGGUCUAGCCGGGAUAGCUCAUGCUAAAACUGGUCUCACCUGCCAACGUGAGGUAAUUCGACUCCGGGUGCACUUCAUUGGGUGCUCGUGAGGAGCCUCGUAGUUACUGUGAAAAAAUUAGAGUGUUCAAAGCAGGCUCAUAUGUUCGGAUAGUCGUGCAUGGAAUAACUGAAUACGUGACUGGCGCUUUUCAGUUGGUCUCGGCGAUUGGUCAUAUGAUUAAGAGGGACUGCCGGGGG